GAAAACCUGUGUCAAAUCUCCGCCUAUCGUCCCGUUACGUAAAUAACAGACAUCAGCUGAAGUUAGGCCAAAGAGGAAAGCAAGGAAUUUCUUGGUCCUUCUGCGCCUCACGCGCAGAGCCCUGCGGGUCCAGCUACAGAGACGACUCCCAAAUUCAUGUCUCCAAUUCGGUGCUCCGACUGUGGCUCCAGAGCAUCAUGGAUUCCAAGGACGAGUUGACCAACCGGGCCUAGGAAGCCUUAACAGUCGGCUGCGGAACUUUUCUCUCUAAAUUCUGACAAUAAACUUCUAGAAACCAUCUGCAUUCCUUGGCUCAUGGCUCGUCUUCAAAUCCAACCUCUGCUUCUGUGGUCAUCGCGUCUCCUUCUCUGACUCUGACUCCCUUCCUUCCUUCACUGAUGAGGACCCUUGCAACUGCACUGGGCCCACCGAGAUGAUCCAGGAUAAUCUCCCCAUCUCAAGAUCUUUAACUUAAUUACAUCUGAAAAGUCACUUUCGCCACUUAAG
rnacentral:lncRNA from 1 species